rnacentral:rRNA from 1 species
AUUGAACGCUGGCGGCAUGCCUUACACAUGCAAGUCGAACGGUAACAGGUCUUCGGAUGCUGACGAGUGGCGAACGGGUGAGUAAUACAUCGGAACGUGCCCGAUCGUGGGGGAUAACGAAGCGAAAGCUUUGCUAAUACCGCAUACGAUCUACGGAUGAAAGCAGGGGACCGACAGGCCUUGUGCGAACGGAGCGGCCGAUGGCAGAUUAGGUAGUUGGUGGGAUAAAAGCUUACCAGGCCGACGAUCUGUAGCUGGUCUGAGAGGACGACCAGCCACACUGGGACUGAGACACGGCCCAGACUCCUACGGGAGGCAGCAGUGGGGAAUUUUGGACAAUGGGCGAAAGCCUGAUCCAGCCAUGCCGCGUGCAGGAUGAAGGCCUUCGGGUUGUAAACUGCUUUUGUACGGAACGAAAGGACUCUGGUUAAUACCUGGGGUCCAUGACGGUACCGUAAGAAUAAGCACCGGCUAACUACGUGCCAGCCGCCGCCGUAAUAC